AUUGAACGCUGGCGGCAUGCCUUACACAUGCAAGUCGAACGGCAGCACGGGAGCAAUCCUGGUGGCGAGUGGCGAACGGGUGAGUAAUAUAUCGGAACGUGCCCAGUCGUGGGGGGAUAACGUAGCGAAAGCUACGCUAAUACCGCAUACGAUCUAUGGAUGAAAGCGGGGGAUCGCAAGACCUCGCGCGAUUGGAGCGGCCGAUAUCAGAUUAGGUAGUUGGUGAGGUAAAGGCUCACCAAGCCGACGAUCUGUAGCUGGUCUGAGAGGACGACCAGCCACACUGGGACUGAGACACGGCCCAGACUCCUACGGGAGGCAGCAGUGGGGAAUAUUGGACAAUGGGCGAAAGCCUGAUCCAGCCAUGCCGCGUGUGUGAAGAAGGUCUUCGGAUUGUAAAGCACUUUAAGUUGGGAGGAAGGGUAGUAACCUAAUACGUUGCUACUUUGACGUUACCGACAGAAUAAGCACCGGCUAACUUCGUG
rnacentral:rRNA from 1 species